UGGGGAAUAUUGGACAAUGGGCGCAAGCCUGAUCCAGCCAUGCCGCGGGAGUGAUGAAGGCCCUAGGGUUGUAAAGCUCUUUCACCGGUGAAGAUAAUGACGGUAACCGGAGAAGAAGCCCCGGCUAACUUCGUGCCAGCAGCCGCGGUAAUACGAAGGGGGCUAGCGUUGUUCGGAUUUACUGGGCGUAAAGCGCACGUAGGCGGACUUUUAAGUCAGGGGUGAAAUCCCGGGGCUCAAACCCGGAACUGCCUUUGAUACUGGAAGUCUUGAGUAUGGUAGAGGUGAGUGGAAUUCCGAGUGUAGAGGUGAAAUUCGUAGAUAUUCGGAGGAACACCAGUGGCGAAGGCGGCUCACUGGACCAUUACUGACGCUGAGGUGCGAAAGCGUGGGGAGCAAACAG
rnacentral:rRNA from 1 species